rnacentral:lncRNA from 1 species
GAGGCUCAGGGACCUACGACACGUCGAUGUAUUCUGUGAGUGGGCAGUUUUGUUUUCCGUAUACAUAUAUACUUACCGUUUUCCCAGAAAUUGAAAAUGCAUGAAAUUAUGCUUUAAAUGAAAAUGUAUAAAAGUAUAUGAGAUAUAUUAGUUGAAAUGCCAUGCAUAGAAGUAUGCGAAAAGUAUAUAGAAUUAUACGAAAAAUAUGAAUUGAGAUGCUAUGCAUAAAAGUAUAUGAAAAGUAUAUAGAAAUGUGAAUCGAAUUGCCAUGCAUGAAAUGAUAUGAAAAGCAUGAAUUGAGAUAUGAUGCAUAUGAAUGAAUGGUGCGGCGGACGCACAGGUGAGUAUCAGGUGAGUAUUUAAUUACUGUUAUGAUGAUGUUGAUGUAUAUUGAGCUCAAAUCCUGCACCAUAGUUUAGUGCUUAUAGUAUUCACCGCAUCGCACGCUCGCCUUGGAUCCAAGUAGAUGCUGGUCGCACAGUCCACGCGGAGUGGGUGCGACGGGCCAGUCGAAGAGUGUUAGUGAGAUUUCGACUGGUGGGUGACCUUAGAUUAUGUGCACAGAUGAUUGAUGAGAGAAGCACUAGAGCGUAACUUGUGUGCAGAAGGCCGUACAGGUCACAGAGGUGACUCCGGCAGAGUGAGAGUGAUAGAUUUUGAGCUCUAGGUUCAACCGUACAAGGCUAUUAGAGGGCCUCCGGUUGAUUACUUCUUGCACCUGAUAUAAUUACUGUUGAUGCAUUCAUACUUAACUGUUGAAUUCCGAUAUGGCAUGGCAUAUUUGUACUGAAAAAUGUGGAGUAAUGAAUUGAAGUAUUGAGAAUAUAUAUGUAUAAUUAUAUUUUACAUUUCUGGGAAAGUAUACAGGUUUUACAGAGAGGGGUUACAACGUUUUGAGAAAUGUUUGGAUUUGGAAAAGAUUGGUUUUACUGACCCACUCAAUUUUGUUUUUCGCCCCUCCAGGUUCUUGAUAGCAGAGUUUUGGUGGCCACGAGGAAUCCAACGGUAUUCUGACAGAAUGGACAAAAAUUAGGACUCACCUUCGGGUGUAUCAACUUAUAAAUUGUAUCUUAAAGCUUCCGUACUGUGCAAAUGGUUACGUCACUCUCACGUGACGGCCAGCAUGCCCU